rnacentral:tRNA from 4 species
GGGCUCAUAGCUCAGUUGGGAGAGCGCAACGCUGGCAGUGUUGAGGUCAACGGUUCGAUCCCGUUUGGGUCCACCA